rnacentral:rRNA from 1 species
CCCUUAGAUGUUCUGGGUCGCACGCGCGCUACACUGACGACUUCAACGAGUUUUUUUCAUUUGAAAAAGUCCUUGGCCGGAAGGUCUGGGUAAUCUUUUAAAAGGUCGUCGUGAUGGGGCUAGAUUCUUGCAAUUAUUAAUCUCCAACGAGGAAUUCCUAGUAAACGCAAGUCAUCAACUUGCAUUGAUUACGUCCCUGCCCUUUGUACACACCGCCCGUCGCACCUACCGAUUGAACGUUCCGGUGAGACCUUGGGAUUUGGUCUUUGAUACUUUAUUGUGUCGUUGACCGAAAAACUUGAGCAAACCUUAACGUUUAGAGGAAGGUGAAGUCGUAACA